GACGAAGGAUGCAAGCGUUAUCCGGAUUCACUGGGCGUAAAGGGUGCGUAGGCGGGUUUUUAAGUCAGGGGUGAAAUCCUGGAGCUCAACUCCAUAACUGCCUUUGAUACUGAAAAUCUUGAGUCCGGGAGAGGUGAGUGGAACUGCGAGUGUAGAGGUGAAAUUCGUAGAUAUUCGCAAGAACACCAGUGGCGAAGGCGGCUCACUGGCCCGGUACUGACGCUGAGGCACGAAAGCGUGGGGAGCAAACAGG
rnacentral:rRNA from 1 species